rnacentral:rRNA from 1 species
CCUACGGGAGGCAGCAGUGGGGAAUAUUGCGCAAUGGGCGAAAGCCUGACGCAGCGACGCCGCGUGAGGGAUGAAGGUCUUCGGAUCGUAAACCUCUGUCAGCAGGGAAGAACGGUCACUGUGCUAAUCAGCAGUGAAUUGACGGUACCUGCAAAGGAAGCACCGGCUAACUCCGUGCCAGCAGCCGCGGUAAUACGGAGGGUGCGAGCGUUAAUCGGAAUUACAGGGCGGAAAGCGCUCGUAGGCGGUAUGUCAAGUCAAGGGUGAAAGCCCCGCGCUUAACGUGGGAACUGCAUUUGAAACUGGCAAACUGGAGUGUGUGAGAGGAUAGUGGAAUUCCAGGUGGAGGAGUGAAAUCCGUAGAUAUCUGGAGGAACAUCAGGGGCGAAGGCGACUAUCUGGCACAUAACUGACGCUGAGGAGCGAAAGCGUGGGUAGCAAACAGGAUUAGAUACCCGGGUAGUC